CUUUACUGAGCGGAGGAGUUUCCCUCUAUUUUUCUGAAAGGAUUACUCAUGAACGGGUGUUGAAUUUUGUUAAGUGCUUUUUCUGUAUCUGUUGAUAUGUUCUUGUGAUUUUCCUUCUUCAGCCUGUUAAAUACAAGGAGGGAGGUUGAGGCCUUGUUAAUGCCAGGUGGAGGGAGAAUUCGAGUUUCCCACCCAGGCUCCACUGCCACCUGCGAUGAGCAAGCUGAGGCUCAGGAAGGUAACUUCCUCCACAGAUCAACGGCAUCAAGUGGAGGAGUUAGAUUCGCAGGAAGUCUGAAGCAUCCAGCGCUGUCCCACAAUGCUGGGAAUGCAUGCAGCAUGUGGCUGGAACAGUGGAUUAACUCGAGGGAGGAGGAGAGAGUAGGUGGAAAUUGAAGCAAGAUAUAGGAACAUUUUUUGAGCAAAGGAGGGAGGGCCCGAUGAGGCCUCACUGGGGGCUCCCAGGGCAGGGGAAAGGACACGAAAAAGGGAGAAGGUCCCGUCCCCACUACGUGAGAAUAUGGGUGCCUGGGUGACCCCAUCUGUGGAGGGACCAACUCUUGAUUUCGACUCACAUCAUGAUCUCGGGGUUGUGGGGUUGAGCCCCGCCUUGUGCACCAAGCUCAGUGAGGGUCUGCUUGUCCACCCCCCACUCCCAUGCUCUCUCAAAUAAAUAAUAAAUUUUUUAAAAAAUGAGAAUGUGACUCUCAUCAUGAUAUCUGAUCAAAAUCCUGACCAGGUUAUCUUUCAUGUCAUUUCAAAAAAUCCUAGUAAGACAAUCAGGCUUAUUUGUUCUCUCUUUUCAAAAGACAAAUUUACAUUAGGUGCUUUGAAGAAAAACCUGGCUAAUUUUUUGACAGAAGCUUUGCAACGUGAUGGGUUAAGUCCUACUCAGCUUGUGGCUCCUUAAUUUGAAAAUGUCAUGCUCCUGAAUCAUGCUGAGUCAUUCAUUCAGGGCUGGUGAGGUCAAUUAGACACCAUGUGGGUAGACAGAUGACAUCAUCCACCUCCUUCAGGAGGGACAGAGGAGAAAUAGAUUCCAACUGAAUUUUGUUCCAAAAGACUGGAUAGGACUGACCAAAGAGGAGCAGUGUGCAAAGAAUCAGAGCAGAAGAUUCCAGCGAGCUCUUGGAUGAAGCAGCAGUAUCAUCCAAAAUAUGUCACAGAACACCAGUUUCAUGGAGUGAUCCGAGGAAAAAGGGGUUCACGGUUUGUGUAAAACUCUAGGUUUAACAAUUAAAUUUCUUUACUGCAGGCCUUCUCAGAGCCUUUAAAACUUUCAGGUGCAUUAUAAACACCUGAGGGGAUGUAGUAUGCACUUGUUUACAGAAAUCUACCCCCACUCACCCAUUCAUACAAUCUCUUUUCUAUCUUGGAGAUUUCUUCUGUCUAGUACCUCACAUCUCACCUUACAUUGAUUAUUUUAUUUGUCAUCUCUCAAAGCAUCCCUUGGAAAUACCAAUUAUAAUUUGUAAGUUCUGGGACAGGAAGAGACUUAUGACCCAGAACUGAAUCCCCUCCUGCAGACUUUAGUUCCUCAAAAAUGGGCCUGGGGGUGCCUGGGUGGCUCAGUCCUUAAGUGUCUGUCUUGGGCUCAGCUCAUGAUCCCAGGGUCCUGAGAUCAAGCCCGGAUAUCGUGCUCCUUCCU